rnacentral:lncRNA from 1 species
CUUGACAAAUGAGCUUCUGUAUUCUUCCGUAAUCCAGAAAAUCUCUCCGCCACACACGGUCUGCGUGGCUAUAAGCACUCAUCUUGAACACAAACUCCUCAAUGUGCCGAAAGCAAAAACUACAAUGCCAUCCUGCAUCAGAGAGCAGGUCAUCAGCACGCCUCGAAUGCGUGUACCUGGUAUCCUUGCUGUAGAUAGUGGCUGCAGUCUUCCAGAUGCUGUCCAUNNNNNNNNNNNNNNNNNNNNUUGCUGAAGAUGAUGGCAUCGAAAAUACGGCGUGGGGUGGCACGCACGGACCAGCCAUGAAGGCGGCAGAGAUGUUCCAUGCUUGCAUUUUCUGCAUAGUAGUGUGGCAGCCAUGUGAACGGAGCUGGCGGCGUAUCCCAAAGUGGCCGCAAGAAGUAUGUAACUUUCCGGUAAUCUGUAUAGAAUCCUAACAUACAUGCAGACACAAAUAUCAACAGUAGGAGAUAAAAGAAGUUGCGUGGAGUUCGUCUGGAAUUAGGACGAAGAGAUCGUGGUGCCAUGCCGUGAAGGAUAUUUCUUCUCUUUUUGAAAGUAUAGCCGGGUGGUGUGCCAUCAAGCCUUGAUUAAAGAAACCGCGGAAUCCAUAACGGGACGUGGUGCCUAUACCCCAAUUUACAAAACUCAAGAGAACUUCCUGAAAUUAAUACAAACAUAGAGGUUUAGUCAUGUCAAAAAUCAUAGCUCUAACAAUCUUGAUCUACCUGCAUAGAGAAAACGUUUUUAAAUCAUGAUGAUAAACAAUGUACCUCACUGCUUUUGCACAAAUUGUAAUACUACCUGGUUUUCUUUAUCACAACUCAAAGUGACUGAAAGUGAGAUUCUUGAAACCCCACCAUGUCAUCUGAUAAAGGGGAAUUGAAAAGCCCUUUGGCAAAUAUUCAAAUACAUCGAUCGUAUGUUUUAAACCCAACAAAUCGUUCAAGAAAAACCAUGUCUAUCAUAGUUUUUUUGCUCACACCAUAAGACAUCAGUUCAAGAGCCUAUCUAACAUUUUAUGAAACAGCAACCAAAUCUCUCUUAGAUAAUUCAGGGUCUAAUAUGCAUUCCAGAAAUUCAAAUCCUAAAUUAAGAAAUCAAACUCGUAAAAACUCUUAGAAGGACAAUGAAACCAAUAAGAUAGAGAUAUAUACCUCCAGUGUCCGCAGGUACAAGAGAGCGAAGGAGGACAGCAAAGCCUAAGAUGGCAGAAAUUCUUGAGUUUGAGACUGAGCAGUCACCCGUCUAAAUUACAAAGAUCAACAAAGUGGGUAUGUGGUUGCUGUUCAAGCGGGGGGGGGGGUAGAUGUUUUGAAGAAAUUUUGUCUCCAUAUAGGAGAAUUUUCCCAACAAAGUGGAUAUGGACAAAAUUUGGUAGCUUUAUAAUAAACACUGGUGCGGUCGUUCUCAAGUCUUAAUGUUUGUGUAAGUUUUAUUAAGUGUAUGACUUGUGUUGGGCUUAAUUAAAUAGAGCCCAACUAAACUCGCUAGGUGUAUUUAGAGAUUUUAUAAAUUUGCUGGCCGAGUUUAAAAAGUUUGCUAGGUGUUCUUAAAUAUUUUCCUGCAGGAUGACCCAAUAGACCAGAAACAAGCUAGGUUAACCAGUUCUGUCAUACUAUCAAAUUCGAAAGUGAACUAAUUUUCUCAUCAACUUGGCACUCUAACUGUCUAGAUUUCCUAAAAAACACUAAGAUCAGGAGAUAACUCCUUGGCAAAGUUGAGAUCAAUUCUUGAAGAACCACCGUGUUUUUCUGAUGAAAUGGAAUUGAAAUAGUCCUCCAACUGCUGUUUAUAGCUAAUUUCAAGAUUCAAGUUGUAAUUAAGUCAGUGAAUUGAACGAUUCAUACCUAUAACAAUGCCUAAAGUUAAUGAAGUCUCUAAUGCAUGUCUCAUAAAGAGAGUAGGAAAACCAAGUACAAUCUUACGCCAUAGCAAAAGUGAUAAUAUAUUUGGCUAAUCGCAUCACACAAAUGUGCUUCUUAACUUGUAUGAAAAACAAAGAUCUACAAAACAUUAUGGGACAAAGUUUGAACGGUGAUUUAAUACAAUUCAAAAAAUAUAUAUGAUUACAAUCUUAGCUUUGAAUGUAUCAUAGAUUCAUAGCUAUGAACAGCGUUAUAUGAUCCAAAUAAAAACUUUCCAAGACGGUGUGGACUAAACCAAAUAGGUCGGAAAAUUGGUGUCUCAAGGGUGGCUAAAUUGGUUCUGACUUUUGUGCCACCCUAGAUUAUGAACAAAUCUUGGCCGCCUGAAUUUCCAGUGCACUACCUUGUUAUUUGGGAUGGAGAAACCAAGCAAAUUAGGCAUCAUGGUUGGUCAGAUUUUUGAUGCAUAAAUCCAUUCAGUAGUCCAUUCUAUAAACUGGUGGUCCUGGACUAUGCUUCGAUUCAUUUAUAAUAGGAGCAUGCAAUCAUGCAUGUCCCUGUGAUUGACUUUGAAAGUUUUGGCGACUACACCGACCCGGAGUACACGUACAUUUCAGUCACCGUCAAGUGUUGCGAACGAUCUAAGCCAUGCCUUCAAAAGAUGCGAGUUAAAAGAAAACACUACCGGGAAAGUCCUGACACACAACAUCUCUAGUUUAUCUUUAACGGUAACUAAUUGUGUCUAAAAUAUUUAUGAUAACAUAAAUCUAAAAGGACUAGGAAGAACGUUUUAUGGGUAUCGGGAUUGAAACAGUGGGUAUCGGGAUUGCAACAGUCCUCGUCGUACUUGACAGAAACGAAAAUAAAGAACACAACAAUUUGUUUACUCAAUAAAACCUCAAUUUGAGGAAAAACACUGCUGGGGCUUUAACUCUUAAAAGCCUCUAUUGAAAAGAAAAUACACUAUGAAUCAAGAACGAGUCAAUUACAAACUUUCUAGCACUAACUGCGGCUAUUAUCUCUAGAACCCCAGUAGAUAUGGUUGAAACACUCUUCUUCUUCAAAUAAUCUCUUCUUCAAUCUCCAAGGAACUAACCACAUCCUUGAUCCUUUAAUCACAUAAACAAGUUCAACUCAACACGAAACAGUUGAACUUGUGACCUUACAAAGUAUUGCAGCGGAAAUACUAUCUCUCAAAUGCUAUGCGUGCAAAGAUAGUUCUCUAAGAAUAAUUGUGCAAAAUGUAUUCUUCCAAUAGCUGUUGCAUCUUCUUUUAUAGAUGAAGAACUUCUACUCUUUAUUCACGUCUUUAAUCAGAUUGGUUUCCAAUAGAUAAGUCCUUCUCCUAUUACUAUACAAAGACAACAAUAAUAUCAGAUAUAAAAUAUAUCCCAAAUCAAAUAAUAAUAAUCAGAGUAUAUAUAACCUAAUCACAUUAGGUUUUCUUCCUUUUCAAGUGCACGAAUCUCAUGAUUUAAUGAAUCAACAUCCUAACCAAAUUAGGAUCCUUAUCUAUGAACGUAAUAGCUUCUUUCCCUGUGUAUAUCAUAUCCAAUUAAACAUAGAUAUAUAUAUAUAUAUAUAUACAUAGAGGAUGUAGAGCGGACGUCCGCACUCGGCUUAAAGUGCGGACGUCCAUCCGUUCUCCACCCUCCGGCGCCGGCGAUGGCGCGCCUCCACCCCAGAAGACUCCAGCAGCGUCCCCGACCACUUCUCCUCCCCGGCGAGUUCCGUUUUUUUCCAGUUUCCGGCGAGAUCGACUUUGUUUGAAGUUUUGGAUGAUCUCGCCAGAAAACCGGAAAAGAAUGGACUUGCCGGGGAGAGAAAGUGGUCGGGGACGCUGCUGGAGUCUUCUGGGGUAGAGGCGUGCCGGCGCCGGAGGGUGAAGAACGGACGGACGUCCGCACUUUAAGGCCGGUGCGGACGUCCGCUCCACAUCCGGCCUAUAUAUAUAUAUAUAUCCAUAUAUGUCAUAGUGAAAAUAGCCUUGCUUUUUUUGAACUCAAAGACAAUUUUGUUAUUAGUACUAAAGUAUAGGGUACAAUACGAAUCGAUUCGUUGCUGGAAACAAUAGUUCCUUGAUGUAAAUGAUCCAAAAUAGUAAAUUACCAUAGCACCUAGUAAAGUAGCAGCAGCAUUUGAACUUGUAGCAGCUCACCUCUGGGAGGUAAAUUUGUAGCUUGCAAAUGUGUAAUGUGUCGACUUCAGGAGAAGACUUUGGCUUUAGGAUUGAGCAAGGAAACAACGUUGUGCUUGCAUUUCCUUAAGGUGACACACUUAAACCGGCUAUGCUUACGUCCCUAAGUGGUUCCUAAUAACCCCAAUGAUCUGCUGCAAUAAUAUAUCUCUUUAUUCACACAAAGCCAUGUCCAACCCUCAUGUUAAUACAAGGUGCCGGAUAUGAAGCUUUAAUUGGUAUAUGGUGAAUUGAUGAUGGCUUCAAGGAUGAUGACUUGCUCACAUCGCGGAUGCAGAAACUUAACCUUCUUGAGGAAGAUAUGGAUCACAAUAGUAUAGAGUUCUGUGAGUUGAGCAAAUCCGAGAGAAAGGAUAUGAUUUCUAUGUUGAUCAUCAGACACAGGAGGAGGAGGAGGAGGAGGAGGCUUGUAAACCAAGUUUUCGAAGAAGUCAUUGUAUUGAGAGAGGUCUCCAAACUCUGAUGUCUUAACCACAGUGGUUCCCUUGGCAAGAAAAGAACCUCAGAGAAUAUGUGAGUUUCAUACUUUCAUUAUUAAUUUUAUAUUCUCAUAAUAUUUUAUUUUUGAUGAACAAGAAUUACCAAGCAUGUUAAUUAAGAGAAGAUUGAUUCAUGUUGUAGCAUUCUCCAGAAUGGUUGAAGUUAAGGAACCAUGAGAAUGUCCAUAAAGAUCACAAUGAUUCUUGUUGCGGAAGUACUAGACUUGAACACCAUACUUUAUAUCUCCUAACAUAACUAGCUAGCAUAUUUGACUUGAACACUUAACCGCAUGAUCCUCACCAAGGACAAGAUAAAGAGAAGGUUAACUAUCUCGAUGUCCUAAAGAACACUAAGAUCAGAAUGACUAUUUUCCUUAGCAAAGUUAGAAGAGCUACCAGUCUCUCUGAUACAGCCUCCAGGGAGAAGGAACCUAAAUUUGUCCGCAUUCUUUAUCAGAUAAGCUGGAAGGUUAAUAGCAGAAGCUGAUUUGGGAAUCGAUCCCAUCUUGCUGAUCACUUCCUUGAAUGUGUACCCUUCAGGCAACAUAUCGAAAAGAUCAUCUCCUUGACAAAUGAGCUUCUGUAUUCUUCCGUAAUCCAGAAAAUCUCUCCGCCACACACGGUCUGCGUGGCUAUAAGCACUCAUCUUGAACACAAACUCCUCAAUGUGCCGAAAGCAAAAACUACAAUGCCAUCCUGCAUCAGAGAGCAGGUCAUCAGUACGCCUCGAAUGCGUGUACCUGGUAUCCUUGCUGUAGAUAGUGGCUGCAGUCUUCCAGAUGCUGUCCAUGGGGAACUCAAAUGAGUACAGGUAAUGCUUCAUCUCAAGAUGCAAUUCAGAAGGGAUUCCCUCACACCAUU